GUUUUCUGUGGGAAGAGCAUUCCAGGCAGAGGGCAAGUCCCUGAGGCCAGUGCUGAAGACGCUGUCUGCGUCUACAGGAGGUGAUGGGCUCCUGUCCAGCUACUGUUGUCCAUCGCCUGUGCCCAGGGCUGUGCCAGGCAUUCAGGGAGGAAGACUCACCUGCUAACAAGUCAGUGGGGAUGACACAUGUCUUUGCCCUGAGCAUUUGCUCACUUCUCUGCCACUGGCCCUAGGUGACAGCUGUCCCCCAUGAGUUUCAGCAGAAAGUGUGAUGAUCUGGGGAAGAGGAAGGGAAGGCACCCACUAAUAUUUAGCGUCUGAGCCAGCUGCUAACUGCAUCAUUCCUGGAAUUCUUCAUCCACAUUCCCGAGCCAGCUCAUCUAUUUUGUGCCAGGACACAUCGUAUAUCUCCGACUUGGCUGCCUUGGGUCAUGGUCUCCUUGUGGUCCAAUCUGCAGGGCCAAGGAGGGAGGGCACCAACGUGGCCAGCACAAAGCUAUCCCUUCUGCCAGUGCCCUGGGUGAUGCAGGCACCACUGUUAGACAGUGCUACAAUCCCAGAUUAAUUUUUUUUUUAUGUUUACUCAUGCUUGAGUUUCCUUUGUUGACCUUUGUUACUGUUGCCUAGAGGUCUAUUAAGGGUCCUUAAAAAUUCCUCAGGCACCCAGCCUGGUUCAUUGUGGAUGCUCCUACGCGUUGCCUGGCAGGGGGAGGGCCAUUCAUAGUUAAACAAACAAUAAGUCAUUUCCUGCUCCCUCUUUAGUCUCACCUUUCAACAAAGAAGGGAGGGGGGACCAUAUUUAAUAAACACCAUCCAUUAGAUUAGAUCAACAGUCUCCAAAUAUUGCAUUUCUUCCAGAAACAGUAUCUCUCCUGCCCUCACAGAAGAGCAUGUGGUCAAGAGGAAAUUGAAUAAAAUCCUUUAAUCAGCCGCAGUAGUAUUUGAAUCAUUUAAUUUAGGAUCUGACAACCACAAAUUACUUUAUUUUUCAGGCCAAUUUUAGCUGACCAGGAGAGCUGGCCCAGUCCGACUCAUGCUUAAUAAAUCACCCCCUUGCCUGAUGGUGGAAAGUUUGGGGAAGAGAUUUUUCUGGGGCUUUUCAAACAAAAUCAAAAACAAUCUGCCGUGCUGUGUGUGCCUCACAUCAGUGCUUGGCUAUGCUCCCUUUGCAUGGCUCUGUGGCUGUAAAGUGAACCCUCGGGCUGGAGGGAGUCAGGGACUCGAGGCAGGGAGCUGUCACCUCCUCAGCCUAUGCCUUUUAUUCCUGGCUCCGAAUUCUCAUGGCCAGGAAAACAAGUCAAAUCAGAUUAGUUGCCAGACAU
rnacentral:lncRNA from 1 species